AACUUUUUGCUCAGCGAGUCCAGGAAACUGUUUUAGCAGCUUAGACUGACUGUCAGAAGUGCCCGUAGCCCUGACAUGAGGGACUGAGUAGGGAGAUGGAUUACGCAGUGAUCCUAGUCUCAUAGAAGGAAGGAGACCUCUUCAUGCCCAUAAGAAGUCCUGGGAUCUGCUGCUUCACCUUAGACCAUCCUCUGGCCUUGAACCCCAGACCUGGGACUCUGGAGAAAGGAUAAAAACCCUUCCUGGAAGGAAGAAAAGAUGUGGCGCCAGCUGAAUAUGUUGGGAAAGCCAUCUAGCCUGUCCUUCUCUGAACUUCCUUCAGCGCCUCUCCCAUUACAGAGCACCACAGCGCUUCAUCUCUGCACACAUCGGACAUGUUUUGAACUUGUUGACAUCUGGGCAUUCCCGUGGGGACGACGCAUAUUUAAAUGUCAUCCACAAAGAGCUGUAGUCCAAAAAGACUGAGCACAGCUGCUCCAGCGAGCAACUCACAGGCAUCGCAUUACCGCAGGGAAGUAGAUUGAGAGAAGGGAUCUUUACUGUAAUAAUUGCAUUAUUAUAUUCCUGUGUUUCCAGUGGGUCUUAUCUGUGGAACAUCACUUCUCCAGUUCCCCCUGUAGCAUAUGACACAGUUUUCAAAAGCCUCUGGUUCUUAACUGGUCCCAUUUGCUUCACCUCCCACUCCCUUUCAAGCAGAAUGAGGAAAAUUAGCCUACUUUCUGACGUUCGAAUUUAUCAGUCCCGGCUUUUUUGAUGUUAGCAAGUGGGGCUGUUUUAAUGAUUCUAUUAUUGCAGUGUGCUCACACGAGUUGUUUCUCUGAAAGCGAAAAGAAGAAUGUGGUUUAGUAUGAUCCCGUACUAAGAAGAUGACAGUGUGUAUACUCUAUUAACAAGACAGGAGGCAGAAGCCAUUCUUGUCUUAUGGAUUUGUCAACAGAAGGGUUAUUGUUAUUAUUUAUUAUUAUUAUUAAUCAUUAUUAUUGCUAUUGUCUGAAACUUAGAUUAAUCUCUCCACCUCUCAUUUUAGUGCUUUCCUCCACAAAAAGAAAAAAAGAAACAGCUGGAGUGGAAGAUAGGCAGUAGAAGAGAGAUAUCACAAUUUAGCAACUGGAGACCAUCUUAACUUUGUAAAAUCUCCUAAUUUAUAUCAGUUCUGUAUAGAAUCAAUUGAUGUUUUAUUUUUUAUUUAUUUUUGACUAUUUUUUUGAGACAAGGUCUUACCUUGUGUUCUUGGCUGUUCUGGGAACUCUCUGCACAGAGCAGGCUAGCCUUGAAGUCACAGAAGUCUAUCGACUUCUGCCCCUUGAGUGCUGGGAUUAAAGGUGUGCACCGCUAGACCUGGCUCUCAUUGAUGUAUUUAAUGGCAAGUUUGAAAAAGACUAAAAUUUUCAUAUUUAUGAGUGAGACUCUUCAUCUCUCUUUACAUAAGUCCUUGAGGGGAAAACUGUCACACGGUUGGUUCUCGAACUGCAGUGUCUGAUUUUGUGUUCUACAAAAGAGAACACACAGGAGGUAAGGUAAUUCUGAGAAGGAACUUGCCAAGAGCUGGCCUGGUGAGCUGCAGCAGAGGUCUGGGAGGCAUCAGCUGUAUAAGGAUACUCUGGCUGGGUAGGGCCUGUUGAGCUCCACUGUGCAGCAGCCUGCAGAAUACUGUAAUAAUGGGCCACCUUACAGACAGGUAAAGAUCCUGGAGACAUUUGCAUAAAAAGAGGCUGGCCUUACAAAGAAGCGCACUGGUAGCCAGUUGCAUAGGGACUGCUAUGUCUGUCUAUAUCUGGGCCUUGGGAACGGAAAUGCCCAUAGCAUUUGCUAAGCAAAAAGCAAGGCGAGUCCGGAUGCCCCUCUCCCAGACGGGUGUGGCCAAUGCACACACCAAAAGAGAGCAGUAUGCAGAACAGAGUGAAAAAUGGAAUCGGGGCUCAGAAACAGACUCUGCUGCAGAAGUGAGGUGCGAGGAUCGAGAUACGCAAGCAGAAAGACCAGCAAGGAGAGAUGCAGGGACUGAGAAUACCCUUGGCACACUCUUCCCAUUACAUUCUGAUCCAAUCCUAGAAAAGUGAGCUACGUCUUCAGACCUUCGGACACGUCUUUCCCUUUAGUCAGAACCAGGAGGAAGAAGAAGAAGGAGAAGAAGGAGAAGAAGGAGAAGAAGGAGAAGAAGGAGAAGAAGGAGAAGAAGGAGAAGAAGGAGAAGAAGGAGAAGAAGGAGAAGAAGGAGAAGAAGGAGAAGAAGGAGAAGAAGGAGAAAGCUGCUUCUCUGAACUUGUCUGUCACACACUGCUUCAAGACACACAGAUGUCUGUGUCCUUGCUUGGAGGCAACUGGCAGCAAUCCCAUUAAAAUUAGCUUGAAGCAGCCACAGCGAAAGGUUCUGCUUGCUCCUUCACAAGCGCUGCUGGCUGCACGGUCUCAAACCCUGUCCCUUAGGCUCUCUCUUCGCCUGUGCUCUGGUCCCUGUCUAAUGUCCCCUUGCAGGGUCACUAAGUGAACGUGAAGCUUCUGACUCAGCUAGGCUGCCUGGCCAUAAGCACCAAGGAUUUACAUGUUUCCCUCACCUGCUCCCAGUCCUGGAGUUACAGCCAAGCAUCACUGUACUAUGUGCCUGGUUCUCUGUGCUUUUUGAGUCUCCAUUGCGGGGAAGAGGGGGAAGGAUCUUCCUUGAAAUAGGCUAGAUUCCUGAGAUAGGCUACUGAAGUUCUUUUCCCACUGUCUUUUGCAUGCAGCUCUCCUUCAAAACCACUGUUCAAUUGAUUACCCGUUGUUAUAGACAAAAGACCUGCUGAAUAAAGGAGGGACCAGUGUCUUAGGCCAAUAUAUAUUAUUCUUAGAACAAAUCUCUAAGAAUGGUCAUGAAUUAAUAGAAUCAUGAGCUUGUUUCUUAUGAGAUGAAGCAGAAUCAGCAACUUAUGAUUUUUUGACAAUAGUUUUGAAAUAAUUCCCCAGACGAUCUGUAAACGCCUUUUUCAGAAGCUAAAAAUUUGUAGGUUGCAAGACUGGAAGAGAUUAGUACUAAUUUCUCUCAGAACUUCCUUUGUUUAGAAUUUAGACUGGCAUUUAUAUUAGAACUGCCUAAAAUAAAUUGAUAACAGCUCACCAGUUCUGUCCUUUGUUUCUAAAGAAAAGGGAUCAAACACCUGUUUUCUCGUAUAGGCACGUGACUGUGAUGUUGCUAGUGUGGGGCUGGAGGAAGGCUUGGGAAUGGGUUUCCCAUCAAUGAGCACUCCUUACUGCUUCUCGUAACAGGAAAAUAUAUAUUAGACAUAGGCAGGUAUGGCAGGUCCCCGAGGGGUGUCUUUCAUCUUGAAAAUGUCCUCAAAGUAGACACUGGAUUUCAACUAGUUUUUCUGCUUUGCUCAUAUAUAUAUAUGUAAAACGGUGCUCUACUGAGUUCACAGGUACCUUGCUGCUGAGGGAGAGUGUAGGAAGGAUAAGGAAAGUUAAUCUUUCACACCUAGAAUAGUGCCUCAUCGGGUUGCAGCCUGAGUGCCCCCAGGGCAGAGCAUUUGCUUACUGCCUUUCCUACCCUAGUACGGGAGAGAUUAAUACAAGCCAAGCCUUGGAUUCAUGAGAUGCUCCUCUAGAGGAGGAGCUGCCUUCCUUGCAUUAAUGUGACUUUCCUUCCAUCCCUCCACCACCACUGUCCUGAGUUUCACAGCUUUGUGCCUAACUAAUUUAUGCUUCCCUGUGUUUUACCCAGAUUGCCCUCAAUGCCAUGCUGGUUGACCACUCUUCUCCUUGAGAUGCUGUAACACCUGGAUGAUGUGUCUACAGUCUCACGAAGAUCACAUACUCAUUGUAUCCAGGACCUAUGUGCUAAGAAACUUCUUUAUCUGACAUUGUUCAGAGUAUCUAGUACAUGACGAAUAAACACAAUGUGUAUUAAACAGAGGCAAUUACAUACACACACACACACACACACACACACACACACUGAAUGCAUGCAUAUACAGAGCCUUAGAUGUGUGUAAAGAUUCUCCCUCUAACUAUUCUUGAGACUCCUUAGGCUCUUUCUGUGGUUUCACUCUUCCCUGUCUCACAGGUGUAGAUUUUAAGAUUUAUGAGUCCAGCAGAGGUUACAAGACUAAUAUGUUCAUACGGUCUUACUUUGGCUUAGAAUUACCUCCCUGCUCUCCCUCAAAGAACAAUAUAACCUUAUGAUUUGGUGUGCCUCAAAUAUAGAGCUAAGGGUGAUGUUUCUUUAUAUAAUCACCAAAGAGCCAGGAUUUCCAUUAUGCUUUUAGGCCAAAGGCUCACUUCUUGCCGUAUUGAAGCUGUCAUGUAAACGAUUUAAGCCUGUGCUCAGAAGUGACUCUUGAAUAUUUUCUGAUGAUGGAAAUAGGGAAGUCCAAGAACUCAAAGAUUUUAUUCUAGCAUUAAAAUGUUGCUGUAGAUAAAGUCUCUAAAAGAGACUGACAAAAGCCCAUGGGUAAGUCAAAGAAACUUAGGAUCCUUUC